AUUGAACGCUGGCGGCAGGCCUAACACAUGCAAGUCGAGCGGAUGAAGGGAGCUUGCUCCUGGAUUCAGCGGCGGACGGGUGAGUAAUGCCUAGGAAUCUGCCUGGUAGUUGGGGAUAACGUCCGGAAACGGGCGCUAAUACCGCAUACGUCCUGAGGGUGAAAGUGGGGGAUCUUGGACCUCACGCUAUCAGAUGAGCCCAGGUCGGAUUAGCUAGUUGGUGGGGUAAAGGCCUACCAAGGCGACGAUCCGUAACUGGUCUGAGAGGAUGAUCAGUCACACUGGAACUGAGACACGGUCCAGACUCCUACGGGAGGCAGCAGUGGGGAAUAUUGGACAAUGGGCGAAAGCCUGAUCCAGCCAUGCCGCGUGUGUGAAGAAGGUCUUCGGAUUGUAAAGCACUUUAAGUUGGGAGGAAGGGCAGUAAGUUAAUACCUUGCUGUUUUGACGUUACCAACAGAAUAAGCACCGGCUAACUUCGUG
rnacentral:rRNA from 1 species